UACGGGGGGAGCAAGCGUUGUUCGGAUUUACUGGGCGUAAAGGGCGCGUAGGCGGCCAGCGCAAGUCAGUUGUGAAAUCUCCGGGCUUAACUCGGAAAGGUUAACUGAUACUGUGCGGCUAGAGUGCAGAAGGGGCAACUGGAAUUCUCGGUGUAGCGGUGAAAUGCGUAGAUAUCGAGAGGAACACCUGCGGCGAAGGCGGGUUGCUGGGCUGACACUGACGCUGAUGCGCGAAAGCCAGGGGAGCGAACGGG
rnacentral:rRNA from 1 species